UACGUAGGUGGCAAGCGUUGUCCGGAAUUACUGGGUGUAAAGGGAGCGUAGGCGGGUGCGCAAGUUGAAUGUUUAAACUAUCGGCUCAACCGAUAAUCGCGUUCAAAACUGCGUAUCUUGAGUGAAGUAGAGGCAGGCGGAAUUCCUAGUGUAGCGGUGAAAUGCGUAGAUAUUAGGAGGAACACCAGUGGCGAAGGCGGCCUGCUGGGCUUUUACUGACGCUGAGGCUCGAAAGCAUGGGGAGCAAACAGG
rnacentral:rRNA from 1 species